rnacentral:rRNA from 1 species
UACGUAGGGUGCAAGCGUUGUCCGGAAUUAUUGGGCGUAAAGAGCUCGUAGGCGGUUUGUCGCGUCUGCUGUGAAAACUCGGGGCUUAACCCUGGGCCUGCAGUGGGUACGGGCAGACUAGAGUGCGGUAGGGGAGACUGGAAUUCCUGGUGUAGCGGUGAAAUGCGCAGAUAUCGGGAGGAACACCGGUGGCGAAGGCGGGUCUCUGGGCCGUAACUGACGCUGAGGAGCGAAAGCGUGGGGAGCGAACAGG